AAGAGGAGGAGGGGGAGCAGCAAGAGGAACAGGAGGAAGAAGAAGGGAAGGAAGGAAAAGAAAGGAAAGGAAAAGAAAGAAUAAAGUUUGAGAGGGAGAAAAAUAUUCAUUUUCAAGUGAUAAGAUUGUCUAAAUAUAGCAGAAUCAUAGAAAGAAAAUUGGAACUAAUUAGCAAUUAUAGUAAGAUUGCAGGGCAUAAUUUUAACAUAAAUUAAUUGUUUUCCUAUAUACCAGCAAAGAACAAGUAGAAUUUGAAAUUAAAAACACAUUUCCAUUUACAUUAAUUUCCUAAGCAACUUCUACUUAUAUUUAAAUCCAACGAAGUAGUAAAAGAUUUAUAUGAGAAAAACCUACAAAACUCUGAAGAAAGAUGCUGUAUUACUUAAUUUUCUAUUCCUGUGGUAAAGCACCAUGACUAAGGCAGGUGUGUAUGAGAGGAGGGAUGCUAGGGGGAGGGGUUAUGAGAGCAGAGGAUGGUGGGACAGAAAAGGUAUGAGAGGAGACGAGGUUGGGACAGGAAGUGGCUGAAAGGAGAGGAGGUUGGGACAGGAAGUGGCUGAAAGGAGAGGAUGUUGGGACAGGAAGUGGCUGAAAGGAGAGGAUGUUGGGACAGGAAGUGGCUGAAAGCAGAGGAUGUUGGGGUAGGAAGUACCUGGGGGUAGGGGAUGUGGGACAGGGAGUGUAUAAAAGUGCGUGACGCUGGGACAGAGAGUGUCUGAGGAAGGAGUGUCACACCAGGAUGGUACAGAACUCUAUGCCUACUGCUCAACGCUUCUAUAAAUUUAAACUGCAUUUCAAACGAAAUGUACUAACUGAAAAUACUUCAGUAGCAAAGGUUUUGCUUUUACCUCCUCUGCUUCCAUUGCCUUCCCUGAGGCCAGCUAACUCCUGAGGUGGUGAUAGCAAGAGACGUCUGUUACAGCAACAAACUGGAAGAGAUACAGAAAAAAAGUCACAGUGAGAGCACGGCUAUCUCUCAGUCACCUCAUACUAGGUCAGAUGCUCUUCCAUCAAGAGUCCUGUGUGAUUCUGCUGAACUCACAGGUCAGUGCCUGGCUCAGCCAUCACCAGAGAAGCUUCCUCCUACAACAGAUGGGAACAAAAACCACAGCAGGACAUUGCACAGGAAGGAGAGACUAGAGUCUACAUGGAAUUACAACAAAUAGGAGUCAAGAAGCCACCUGUGUACCCUCAGGUCCACUGUGAAGUGUUUGGGGUUUACAAUUCUCCAUGUGAACCAAAGGGAGAGAGAGACAAUGAUGUACCAGUACCCGGCUCCUGUGCGGGUUAGUGGGCCAGGUCAGCUCUUUGCCAACAACCUCUUCACUAUGAGUGGACUACUGUCCACUAAGAAGUCACCAACAUUUGAAUCUUACUUGGUGUUUCAGAUGCUAAUGAACAUUCAAACACGAUCACCAAAGAACUUUCCACCCCAAUUGUAACAACUUUGGUUCACAUAGACAGGCUCUGCUUCAUUGUUCUGAAGUUUGCUCCUUCUGAAAAAUAAAAGGAAACAGCCAUCGAAAUUCAUCAUGAUAGUAAAAGGACUCGUCCCCCAAAGCAUGCUACAUUACGAACACCUGCAGUUCCUUCCAAACUCGAAGAUGUCAAACGGCUGACCUAUAACAAGGGGCUGGAGGCGUGGGAUUAUCCCUCUGUGGGAACAGGGCAUCUUCUGUGGACCAUCCCAGUUGAAAAUCAUCAUCACACAUCAUAAAGUCCUGCUCUAAAGGAAACUAUGUGAAAGGCCUCUGUCACCUUUGCCCUGGGAGAGACUGUCCAAAGAAAAUCCCACACAUCUCUUUUCAACCAUCACCCAGGACUUAAAAGCACAGUAAAUUCUGUACUUGGUUA